rnacentral:rRNA from 1 species
CGCAGAGAAUAGGCCCAAGCAACUGUUUAUCAAAAACACAGGUCUCUGCUAAAUCGAAAGAUGACGUAUAGGGGCUGACGCCUGCCCGGUGCUGGAAGGUUACGGGGAUUUGUUAACCGCAAGGUAAAGCAAUGAACUUAAGCCCCAGUAAACGGCGGCCGUAACUAUAACGGUCCUAAGGUAGCGAAAUUCCUUGUCAGGUAAGUUCUGACCCGCACGAAUGGCGUAAUGACUUGGGCACUGUCUCAACAACGUACCCGGCGAAAUUGUAGUACUUGUGAAGAUGCAAGUUACCCGCGACUAGACGGAAAGACCCCAUGGAGCUUUACUGUAGCCUGAUACUGGGUUUCGGUAUUCUUUGUACAGGAUAGGUGGGAGACGGAGAAAUGUAGGCGCCAGCUUACAUAGAGUCGACGUUGGGAUACCACUCUAAGAGUACUGGAACUCUAACCAGAGUCUGUGAACCAGACUUGGGACACUGUCAGGUGGGCAGUUUGACUGGGGCGGUCGCCUCCCAAAGAGUAACGGAGGCGUUCAAAGGUUACCUCAGCGCGGUUGGAAAUCGCGCAACGAGUGCAAAGGCAUAAGGUAGCCUGACUGCGAGAGAAACACCUCGAGCAGGUACGAAAGUAGGACUUAGUGAUCCGGUGGUAUGAAAGUGGAAUUGCCAUCGCUCAACGGAUAAAAGCUACCCUGGGGAUAACAGGCUUAUCUCCCCCAAGAGUCCACAUCGACGGGGAGGUUUGGCACCUCGAUGUCGGCUCAUCGCAUCCUGGAGCUGUAGUAGGUUCCAAGGGUUUGGCUGUUCGCCAAUUAAAGCGGUACGCGAGCUGGGUUCAGAACGUCGUGAGACAGUUCGGUCCCUAUCUGUCGCGGGCGCAGGAUAUUUGAGGGGAUCUGUCCUUAGUACGAGAGGACCGGGAUGGACUGACCUCUGGUGUACCAGUUGUCUUACCAAAGGCACAGCUGGGUAGCCAAGUCGGGCAUAGAUAAACGCUGAAAGCAUCUAAGCGUGAAACUAACCCCAAGAUGAGAUAUCCCACGUCUGGAGGUUAGAGGUUAGAAGUGAGAAGUUAGUAAUGCUGCGAAGUGUUACAAAAAUCCAACCUCCAAUAUCUAAUUUCUAACUUCCAGACGGUAAGACCCCAUGUAGACUACAUGGUUGAUAGGCCAGGUGUGUAAGUGCAGUAAUGCAUUGAGCUAACUGGUACUAAUAGGUCGAGGGCUUGACCAAG